rnacentral:misc_RNA from 1 species
GAUGAUUCCACUCAGAUGAUGUGGAUGCAGAUUAUAGAACGUGAAUAUGGAUUAAAAGUGAAUAGAAGUGUGUAACAGACAGCAGUCUAUAAUCAUGUGAAUAAAUACUUUUUUUAAAUAAAUUAAAUAACCCCGAAGAUAAAUAAGUUAAUCAAAAAUAAUGUACAUAUAGGAGGCAAAUGCAAAUAAUGGAAACGAUGUGAAUGUAGAUGGAGAUAAUGCAAAAAUAAUACAAUAAUUAGACGAGAUAAGGAAGAGAUCAUGGCGAUGAUGUCGAUAUAGAAGAUAAUGAUGCCGAUUAAACGGAUGAUGACCAAUAAUGAUGACAUCGAUCGCGUGUCUAUCGAUGAUGAUCCAUCCGCCGACAGUAUGGACAUGAUAAUUAUUAGCUCAUAAGACUCAAGUGUACAUAGCCCCACACCCCAAUCCCCAUCCCAGUCACAUUACCCACUUUUUUCUCCCACAAUCGCCCACCUUUAAAUUCGUUUUUUGUUAACAAUAAAGUGUAAAGUCUAA